GCCAGACCAAAGCCGGGAAGAGACAAAGCUGGCGGCCAGUGGGUCUUGCAAGGCCAGGAAAGAUAUAUGCUUGAUGGUGACACUGUACCUCCCAUGGACAUGACUUGAAUAGAUCACCUAGAAAUGACAGCUGUCCGUUCAGAACUGGCAAUGAAGAGGAAGCAGCAAAAUUGAAAAUACAAAUACUAAAAGAAGUAUCCAGAUGAGAAACGCAUGUGCAUGCCUGUGCCCACUGCGUUCAGAAUAAGGUGUCAGAUCCUCUAAAACCGAAGGUUUUAUAUAUUUCCUGAAUCCUGGUUGGGUAUUAUUUUGUUUUUUAUAAUUUGUCUCUUCAGAAGAAUACACCAAAGGAAGCUGGAUACAGAAAAA
rnacentral:lncRNA from 1 species